rnacentral:rRNA from 1 species
GUGCCAGCAGCUGCGGUAAUACGGAGGGUGCAAGCGUUAAUCGGAAUUACUGGGCGUAAAGCGCACGCAGGCGGUUGAUUAAGUCAGAUGUGAAAUCCCCGGGCUCAACCCGGGAACUGCAUCUGAUACUGGUCAGCUGGAGUCUCGUAGAGGGAGGUAGAAUUCCAGGUGUAGCGGUGAAAUGCGUAGAGAUCUGGAGGAAUACCGGUGGCGAAGGCGGCCUCCUGGACGAAGACUGACGCUCAGUGCGAAAGCGUGGGAGCAAACAGGAUUAGAUACCCUGGUAGUCCACGCUGUAAACCGAUGUCGACGUUGGAGUUGUGCCCAUGAGCGUGGCUUCCGGAGCUAACGCGUUAAGUCGACCGCCGUGGGA